rnacentral:rRNA from 1 species
ACAAAACCUUCCGCAGGGGAACCUGGGGAAGGAUCAUCA